rnacentral:lncRNA from 1 species
CUUGAUUUAGUAUAAUUGUCUUAUGUAUUAUUCUGGCUGUUAAUCUGUAUUUAUGGUACUAAAUUUAAUAAGGAUUUAUAAAAUAAAUCUGAUCAUAUAUAUAUAUAUAUAUAUAUGCAGAGAAAGAGUGAGAGAGAGAUCGAGAUCUCCAUAUAUACUGUCAGUCCAGCAAAAAUUGUAUACACACUUCAGCAGUUCGCCACACUAAUAAAUGUCUGGAAGCUCAUGGCCACCACUUUGAGGACCUCCAGUAAUUGCAGAGGCCAAAGAGCGUGGAGGACCUGAAGCGCCAUAUUGGCUUUGUGCUCAUUGGCUGUGCAUCCUGCUCAAGCUACUUCACCCAUAAGCCAAGCUCUUUGUUUUGAGUCUGCAAGAUGGAAUAAUGCCA